rnacentral:lncRNA from 1 species
UUUUAUGAAGUAUAGAAAGAUUUGACCUUUUGAUCACAACAGAGUUAAAAUCCACUUUAUGAAACGAGUUACGGAUUUUAUCAUUUAUUUAACUUAAGAAAUAUGAGAUUACCCUUAAAGUGGAUUUUUCUUGAGAUUUUUGAGCAUAGUAUUAGGAGUAGUAUUUAGCACCGAGUUGGGUAUGUUACUACGGUUUCAUACCCCAGAACUACGUGCCACCGUAGGUUGAGACAUUGACUUCCACUAUAUGUGGAAAAUUGAGAUAGUGAUCACUGAGAUGAGAUUGUUCUACACCAAUGGCAAGGGUAGGACAUCCCUAACCUUACAGGGGCAAGUCGUG